rnacentral:rRNA from 1 species
GAUGAACGCUGGCGGCGUGCCUAAUACAUGCAAGUCGAGCGAACGGACGAGAAGCUUGCUUCUCUGAUGUUAGCGGCGGACGGGUGAGUAACACGUGGAUAACCUACCUAUAAGACUGGGAUAACUUCGGGAAACCGGAGCUAAUACCGGAUAAUAUUUUGAACCGCAUGGUUCAAAAGUGAAAGACGGUCUUGCUGUCACUUAUAGAUGGAUCCGCGCUGCAUUAGCUAGUUGGUAAGGUAACGGCUUACCAAGGCAACGAUGCAUAGCCGACCUGAGAGGGUGAUCGGCCACACUGGAACUGAGACACGGUCCAGACUCCUACGGGAGGCAGCAGUAGGGAAUCUUCCGCAAUGGGCGAAAGCCUGACGGAGCAACGCCGCGUGAGUGAUGAAGGUCUUCGGAUCGUAAAACUCUGUUAUUAGGGAAGAACAUAUGUGUAAGUAACUGUGCACAUCUUGACGGUACCUAAUCAGAAAGCCACGGCUAACUACGUGCCAGCAGCCGCGGUAAUACGUAGGUGGCAAGCGUUAUCCGGAAUUAUUGGGCGUAAAGCGCGCGUAGGCGGUUUUUUAAGUCUGAUGUGGAAGCCCACGGCUCAACCGUGGAGGGUCAUUGGAAACUGGAAAACUUGAGUGCAGAAGAGGAAAGUGGAAUUCCAUGUGUAGCGGUGAAAUGCGCAGAGAUAUGGAGGAACACCAGUGGCGAAGGCGACUUUCUGGUCUGUAACUGACGCUGAUGUGCGAAAGCGUGGGGAUCAAACAGGAUUAGAUACCCUGGUAGUCCACGCCGUAAACGAUGAGUGCUAAGUGUUAGGGGGUUUCCGCCCCUUAGUGCUGCAGCUAACGCAUUAAGCACUCCGCCUGGGGAGUACGACCGCAAGGUUGAAACUCAAAGGAAUUGACGGGGACCCGCACAAGCGGUGGAGCAUGUGGUUUAAUUCGAAGCAACGCGAAGAACCUUACCAAAUCUUGACAUCCUUUGACAACUCUAGAGAUAGAGCCUUCCCCUUCGGGGGGCAAAGUGACAGGUGGUGCAUGGUUGUCGUCAGCUCGUGUCGUGAGAUGUUGGGUUAAGUCCCGCAACGAGCGCAACCCUUAAGCUUAGUUGCCAUCAUUAAGUUGGGCACUCUAAGUUGACUGCCGGUGACAAACCGGAGGAAGGUGGGGAUGACGUCAAAUCAUCAUGCCCCUUAUGAUUUGGGCUACACACGUGCUACAAUGGACAAUACAAAGGGCAGCGAAACCGCGAGGUCAAGCAAAUCCCAUAAAGUUGUUCUCAGUUCGGAUUGUAGUCUGCAACUCGACUACAUGAAGCUGGAAUCGCUAGUAAUCGUAGAUCAGCAUGCUACGGUGAAUACGUUCCCGGGUCU